AUUCAUGUUUAAUUUUUAUGAGAUUCUUAUGUGAUAGUGACAACUGCACCCUUGACCUUGCUGAAGGAGGGGAGGCAUGAAGCUAAUCAGAAAAUUUUCUCUAAUAAGCUUUCAUAGAAGAGUUUUCCAAAUAAAAUGAAGAGGGCUAUCAUGGCAUAUCAAGUUUCUCUAAUUUUCAGGAAACAAAGAUACUAAUUUGCUUUACUCUUAGGGAUUCUUAAAAGGCCUCUUUUCUAACUGCAUAUUUAGAAUAUAUAAUCAGAGGACCAACGUUCAAUAUCUUUUUUUGUGCCAUCACUUUAAAAAGUGCAGCCAUGCUCCCCACUUAACUAUCUGGAGUUGAGAAAUGAUCUGGGAGUUGGCCCAGAAAUAGUGUGAACAGCUAGAGCCAAUAUUGACAAAUCCUUAUUCUGCAACCCCACAAGUUUCUCUCCUAGGGCUAGGGGUAAGAAUGCAGCAGUGAACAUGGUUCCUGCACUCAUGAAGCAAAUGUAUCCACUGUGGUACAAAAGAGACUGUAAAAAACAAACCCAAAUGGACAACAGACCCCAACUCCAGUUUAAAAACGCCACCACUCAACAGCCUGUUUUCUGAGCCUAUGACCACAUAUAUGCUGCAGAACCCUUUCAGGGUGUAUCUGAAACUACUUCUCUUAAAGGCAAGCUGUAACUGGUGCCAGAAAAGACAGAAGCUGAUUGAGGUCCCAGCUUGGUAACAGUUUGAAGAGUUGCAGGACUGGCUGGAUGAGUACUGGCUGCAGCAAAUCAGGCUGCCAGGAUUCUUUAUGGCUGUUUCUGCUUCCACUACAGCUGAGUCAGAAAGGUCGCUGCCCCGUGG
rnacentral:lncRNA from 10 species